GACGAACGCUGACUGCGUGCUUAACACAUGCAAGUCGAAGGGAGUGGCGAACGGGUGAGUAACACGUGAGUAACCUGCCCUUUUCUUUGGGAUAAGCCUGGGAAACUGGGUCUAAUACUGGAUGGAUUGGGAUGGGCUCGCGGCUUUUCGGCUUGUUGGUGGGGUGAGGGCUUACCAAGGCUUUGACGGGUAGCCGGCGUGAGAGGGCGGUCGGUCACUCUGUGACGGCGCUACGGCCCAGAGUACGAAGGGAGGCAGCAGAGGGGGAUAUUGCAGCAUGGACGAAAGUCUGAUGCCGCGACGACGUGUGGGGGAUGAAGGCCUUCGGGUUGUAAACUCCGUGCGCCCGCGGAAUGGUAGUGGGUAAAGAAGCGCCGGCUAACUACGUGCCAGCAGCCGCGGUAAUAC
rnacentral:rRNA from 1 species